rnacentral:rRNA from 1 species
UACGUAGGCAGCGAGCGUUGUUCGGAGUUACUGGGCGUAAAGGGUGCGUAGGCGGCGCGGUAAGUCGGGUGUGAAAUCUCGGAGCUUAACUCCGAAACUGCAUUCGAUACUGCCGUGCUUGAGGACUGGAGAGGAGACUGGAAUUUACGGUGUAGCGGUGAAAUGCGUAGAUAUCGUAAGGAAGACCAGUGGCGAAGGCGGGUCUCUGGACAGUUCCUGACGCUGAAGCACGAAGGCCAGGGGAGCAAACGGG